rnacentral:rRNA from 1 species
CGGUAUCCUAACCGUGCAAAGGUAGCGCAAUCAAUUGUCCCAUAAAUCGAGACUAGUAUGAAUGGCUAAACGAGGUCUUAACUGUCUCUUGCAGGCAAUCGGUGAAAUUGAUCUCCCUGUGCGAAAGCAGGGAUAAACCCAUAAGACGAGAAGACCCUGUGGAACUUUAAAAUCAGCUGCCACCCCAAAAUACAUAAACACCCACCGGGCUCACUUACAUGUAAGCCACUGGCACGCAUUUUUUCGGUUGGGGCGACCUUGGAGAAAAACAAAUCCUCCAAAAAUUGGACCACCACUCCAAACUAAGAGCAACCCCUCAAAGUGCGAACAGCAACCAGACCCAAUAUAAUUGAUCAAUGGACCAAGCUACCCCAGGGAUAACAGCGCA